rnacentral:rRNA from 1 species
UGCUAACACGGUGACAGAAGCAGAGUGAAACCGAGGGGUGCAAGCGUUCACCUGAUGUAGUGGGGUUAGCAGCUCUGGAUGCGGACCUUUAAGUCAAUGGUGAAAUCCUAUAGUGGAACUAUGAAACUGCGAUUGAUACUCCAGGUCUUGAGUAAAUUUGAAGUGUCGGGAAUAAGUAGUGUAGCGGUGAAAUGCAUAGAUAUUACGUAGAACACCAAAUGCGAAGGCAUGUCACUAAGAUUUAACUGACGCUGAUGGACGAAAGCGUGGGUAGCGAACAGGAUUAGAUACCCGAGUAGUC